UGUUUAUGGCAUUUUCUUGCAAUGUUUUGUUGGAAGUUUGAACUUUUACUUUAGAUUUUCAUCCAUGUACAAGGCAGUACACACUUAGAAAUUGAAGUCACAUAUCUGUAAUAUAGAUAUUGUAUUUUGCAUUUUAAUUAUUUUCACACCAUUGAAUAUUAUUUCUUUGUAAUUGUUAAAUAACAAAUGUUUAAACUCACUCUUGGUACAUUUUGUAUGCAAAUUGAAGUCGCAUAUCUGUAAUAUAGAUAUUGUAUUUGCAUUUUAAUUAUUUUCACACCAGUGAAUUUUAUUUCUUUGUAAUUAUUAAAUAACAAAUGUUUAAAACUCACUCUUGGUACAUUUUGUGUGCACAGCUGGUUUUGGUAAAUUUUAAUGGUGGCCAUGUAUAAGAAGCAUCGUCAGUUUAAUUUUAACCUUGCACAUGUCUAUGUGUUGAUCUUGAUUUAAGCUAAUUGAUGAUCAACAGAACACAUUAUGUUAAACCAUUUUAUAUUUUUUGAAGUUUUUCAUUGAUAUGUUGAUAGGGGCGUCCGUGGCCGAGUGGUUAAGGUCGUUGACUUCAAACCACUUGCCCCUCACCGCUGUGGGUUCGAAUCCCGACAGGGACUUUGGAUUCUUUCAUGUGAGGAAGCUAUCCAGCUAGCUUACGGAACGUCGGUGGUUCUACUCAGGUGCCCGUUCGUGCCUGAAAUAAUGCACGGAAGGGCACCUGAGGUCUUCCUCCACCAGUAAAGCUGGAACGUCGCGAUAUGACCUAUACUGUGUCGAUGUGACGUAAAACCCAAAACAAAACAAAUCAUUGAUAUGUUGUGUUCUGCUUUUGGAUCGGAUAAUGGCUGUUUUAAAAAACUUGAAAUUCAUUGUAGAACUAAAGACUGAUUAAAACUCGGUAUGUUUCUGAAAUUUCACCCAAGGAAAUCAUUGUUCAUGUUUUUAUGCCCCCCGAAGGGGUGGCAUCUUAAAAUUGGACCGUCCGUGUGUGUGUGUGUCUGUGUGUGUGUGUCUGUCCGGGCAACAACAUUCUUGUCCGGUCCAUAACUUUGUCAUUUCUGUUUGGAUUUCAAUAUAACUUGGCAGAAGUAUUCAUUAUAAAUGGGCGAUGUGCAGAGCGCAAGACCCAGGUCCGUACCUUCAAGGUCAAGGUCACACUUGGAGUUCAAAGUUCAAAUAUGCAUAUUUUUUCUUUUGUCCUGUCCAUAACGUUGUCAUUUAUGUGUGGUGGAUUACUGGUGGUUUUUUAAAUUGAUUUGUAGAAGAUGGCGUGCAGAGCACACAUGACCCAGGUCCGUACCUCCAAGGUCAAGGUCACACUUCAAGGCCAAUGGUCAAUUUCGUGGGGGCAUACGUCACGUUCUGUGACAUUUCUUGUUUGUCAUUCAUUUGUACCUGUUAUAAUUGUUUUUGGUUAACUGUUUAAUAAAAUGAGAAAUAACCCAGCAGGCACUCGACGUUGUUUCAACGUUGAAACAACGUUGAAAUAUGGUCGUGACGUUGUUCAACCAAUAUUCAACUAUGGACGACCAUACGGAUAUAUUGCCAAUGUAUAUACAACGUUGAUUCAACGUUGUUUAUGGUCGAAGUUUUACAUUUAGUUUAAUCAUUAUAUAAACUUUUAUACCACUAAUUUUGUGAUAUUAUUCCUUUAUUGAAUUAGUCUGUAAGUGAUUUUUGUCAGGAAAAUUUGCGUUACAAUCUUUUUCCGUAUAUUCAAAAAUAGCGCUUAAACAAAUAAAGUUGGAAAUAAUUUUUCACUUUCUAUUAACGCUUUAAAUAUUAGUUAAUAUGUUUUGUUGUUUGUUGUUUUAUUUUUUAGUUCUUUAUGAAUAAUAUUAAUUAAUAAAUUGGUAUUAGUCAAAACCCCGUUUAUAAAAUAACGCUGGUCAGGGGAAGUAAUUGUUGCGGUCUAUGAUUUUGUUUGUUUUUGUCUAUGAUUAUCGUUCGUGCAAAUGGUGGCGCUGUUUGGAAAAUUUGAAAACAACACGAUUGGCAAUUUAUUUGGAUUUGGAAGAUCCUGGUCCUGGCUGAAAUUUACAGUAUUGCACCUGUAGCCUGUACACCAUACAUUCAACAUGAAAAGGACUGUCAGGAUGCUGCAUAAAAUGGUCUUAGCUAGAGCCUAUAAUAUUAAUUUCUUGGGAAUAUGCUGCAAGGAACUGACGGGGAGCAGUUUUUCUUACCAAUCAUAGAAGCAGUAAGAGACAGCCAAAGAAGUACUCAAACACUUGACAUACCCAGAAAGAUCUAGAAGAAAAGAUUGGAACAGAUUGUAGCUUAAUUGUUAAACUAUUAAAGUGAAUUUAAGCUGCACUUGAACUGUAUUUUUGAAAUAAAAUAUCUGAAGUAUUUAA